GUCGGGAUGGCGGAAUUGGCAGACGCGCACGUUUGAGGGGCGUGUGACUUCGGUCGUGCGGGUUCAAGUCCCGCUCUCGACACCA
rnacentral:tRNA from 1 species